rnacentral:rRNA from 1 species
UACGUAGGGGGCGAGCGUUGUCCGGAAUUACUGGGCGUAAAGCGCGCGCAGGCGGCCCGCGAGGUGUCACGUGAAAGCCCCGGGCUCAACCCGGGAGGGUCGUGGCAAACCGGCGGGCUUGAGGCCGGUAGAGGUGGGUGGAACUCCUGGUGGAGUGGUGAAAUGCGUAGAGAUCAGGAAGAACACCCGUGGCGAAGGCGGCCCACUGGGCCGGUACUGACGCUGAGGCGCGAAGGCGUGGGGAGCAAACAGG